CCUACGCUUUUCCUCUCCGGAGACUCGGGGCAAGCGGGACCCUGAGCUGGUAGGGGCGGCUAUUUUGGAGCCACGGGUGCAGAUUUGGAGCUGAAGUGGACGGGAAGCUGGAGUGAACAGGUUUUCCAGCAAAAUGAUGCGAUGGGCGGCCGAGAGGAAGAUACAUUCCCGCAUUCAAAUGUACUGUAGCGGAUUGAGCAUAAUCCCUCUCUGAAGAUACAGAGAAAUAAUGAUCCCAGAAUCUCACCUCUUUGGUAUGUUAACCAUGAAGGGCGUAAGUGACCGAUCAGUGAAAUAGAGCACUUUAGUGCAGGCGCUGCUGACAGCUGGAGAGCUCUGUGAGUGAGGCAACUCUGCAAUCAGAGAGACUUUGUGGUUAGAAUGUUCAAUUUGCUUGAAACCACCCCUCAUUUCCAGUUCUUAAAAAUGUCCCAGGAGAAUGAAGCUGCCAGAGGUCACAGAACAGCUCUCACCCCCUUGCCUAACACCAUGUUCAGAGGGUAUUAUCCACAGGAAGUCACCACUAGGACCACGAGGACAAGAGGUGCUCCAGACAUGGACACUGUCACUGUCACAAGGACUCAUCCCAGGACAUGCAGGCGCUCCAUGAGGCUAGAGAUGCCCUGCUCCAAGCUGUCAAUGGUGUGGUGCUGAGGAUCAUGGCCACUGAAGCUGUUGCGCAGGCUGCGGAGAGCAUCUCGAACAAGCUGCAGGUCACUAGUCUGUGGGUAAAAAUAAGGUGCUGUUGGCAUGGUGAAGUGCCAUAUUAUUAACCAUGUCCCAACUGCUGACCUUGAGAAGAUAAAGGAGAGAGGAUUCCAGAAUAGAUCUUUCAUUUUUGUGGAGCUGUGAACUGUAGGAAAUUCUCCUCUGCAGAAGCAGGGCUACUGUAUGCCCACUCAUUCUUAAUUUUUGAUAGCAAGUGCUUCAUACCUUUACACACACAACAGAUGCAAAAAUUAGGGACCUAGAAUAUAAAAGGCCUAGUCUACUGGCAAUGGCUGAGCCACUCUUCUGAUUUCAGCUAGAAGUGUCAGGGCUAUAUUCAAAUCCUAGGAACCUACCCCUCUGUGGGUGAUUGAAGAAGCUCCUUUUCCUGCCGUUGGAAGGAGAAAACCAUUGCUUUGAGAGUUGUGACUGUUGUAAUUGGUCACCUAUAUCAGGAAGAAAAGAUGCUUGUUAAAGGGAGAAAUCUAAACCAAGACGUCCCGUCUUACUUUUCUUCUCUACAUUUAUCACUUCCUAUCAUAGUAUAUGUCAUAGUAUAUAAUUAUUUGUUUAAUGGCUCUCUGUAUUAAAAUGUAAGCUUUAUAAGUGUUUAUUUUUUCCCUUUUGUCCACUGCUGUAUCCCUAGCACUUGAUACUUAAUAGGCAUUGCUGAAUGUAGAAUGAACUUUGUUUCCAUAAUAAAAAAAGAGCAACUAAUAA